UACGAACUGUGCAAACGUUAUUCGGAAUCACUGGGCUUACAGAGUUCGUAGGCGGUCUGGAAAGUUGGGUGUGAAAUCCCUCGGCCUAACCGAGGAACUGCGCUUGAAACUACCAGACUCGAGGGGGAUAGAGGAAAGCGGAACUGAUGGUGGAGCGGUGAAAUGCGUUGAUAUCAUCAGGAACACCGGUGGCGAAGGCGGCUUUCUGGGUCUUACCUGACGCUGAGGAACGAAAGCCAGGG
rnacentral:rRNA from 1 species